UACCAGCACCCCGAGUGGUCGGGACGAUUAUUGGGCCUAAAGCAUCCGUAGCCGGUCCUGCAAGUCUUCCGUUAAAUCCAGCUGCUCAACAGAUGGGCUGCGGGAGAUACUACAGGGCUAGGAGGCGGGAGAGGCAAGCGGUACUUUAUGGGUAGGGGUAAAAUCCGCUGAUCCAUAGAAGACCACCAGUGGCGAAGGCGGCUUGCCAGAACGCGCUCGACGGUGAGGGAUGAAGCUGGGGGAGCAAACCGGG
rnacentral:rRNA from 1 species